GAAACGGUUUUUUUUAAAACCAACCUUAUAGCCAUUUUGGGGAAAU
rfam:Rhodnius prolixus Rhodnius_prolixus-3.0.3-405.7, whole genome shotgun sequence.